AAAUAUCCAACCUGAAGGCGUGUUUUAUAUAUUGUCCCAAAUUCAGGUGUUUUGGAGUUAUUGCCUGUGACAAAUGAAUUGUUGAAAAUGACCGAAACUACCAAAAAUCUGACAUUUAAUUCAAUAUGGCGGACUUCCUGUUGGGUUUAGACAAUGACUCCAAGAGACUUUUUUGUUUGCACUGAUGUGCUACAUAUGCAUGCCAAAUUUAAUAGUCAUAGGUGAAAGUCUCUGUGGAGGCUAUUUUUUAAAUGCUGUAGGGGACGCUAUGGUACAUGCUGUGAAUGUAUUUUAGGCUAUAAAUGUGAUCAGGACAGGACUGUAUUUAAUCAUGUGAGGUAUGAGGUAGAUUGGAGCAUGCAGAGGAUAGUUAGAUAACACUUGAUGUUUCAUGGCGAACCAUCAAAUUUCUGGAGGUCGCCAUGUCCACACCCUUUGACUCUGGAAGAAUCUUUUAAUAACUUUUGAUCAUAACACCGUGUUGUAUAUCCUGGUAAAAUUUGAGGUCUCGAGGAGUUAUCCCCUAGGAGGAGAUCGCUCUCAAAAAUUAAAAAAAUAGAGAAAAUUUAUCCACGUAAUUCAAAAUGGCGGACUUCCUGUUGAGUUUAGGGGAUGGCUCCAAGAGGCUUUUUUGUGUGUCCUGGUGUGCUCUAUAGGCCUCCCAAAUUUUGUGGAUGUUGGUGAAACAUGCUGCGGGGGCUGUUUAUUAAACAUACUGUAGGGGGCGCUAUAGCACAUGCCCUGUAGAAAUGCAUACAGUGUUAUUCCUUGAGACGACUGUGAUGUGUGUGUAAAUUUUGGUGAGCUGUUGAACAUUCUAAGCCUGUCAAAAAGUACUUUGUUUGUCACAAAAACAACGCGUUGCCACGGCAACAGCAUUUCAUCAAAUAUCAAAAUCUUCAGACUGUGGCAUUGUCAGGGGGUGAAGACUGAGCUGACCAAUUUCCAGAAGGAUAUGAGAAAGUUUGGAGCAAUAAUGCAAGCAAAUGUAAUUUCUAAACUACUUGUUACCAAUAGGUGGCGCUAUGACUUUUUCUAAAUUUUUCAGUGUGGAUGUCCUCAAACUGGUUCUGGUGUCCAGCACAUGAAGUUUGGGGCAGACAGGAUCCUUUGCAGCUGAGAUAUGAACACUUCAAUUUUCAUGGCGAAACAUCAAACUUUGCCGUCCCGCCACAGACACGCCUUUUUAUCACACGUCACCAUUUUUUCUGUGAUUCAUCAUCAAUGUGUUCAGGCUUAUGUCGCCACAUCUGAGGUGAAUCUGGCCAACAGGCUAAGAAUAGUCCAUGAAAGUGUAAAAAAUGUCAAAUUCUUGAUACCACAAGGUGGCGCUGUGACUGUGAAUGAAUCUUGCUAUAUGGAUGUCAUCGAGGCAGGUCUGUGAUCAUACAUGUAAAGUUUCAUUCAGAUCGGAGCAUGUUCAGGAGAGUUACACAGCAUUUCCUGUUUCAUGGCGAAGGAUCAAAUUUUGACAGGCCGCCACGACCACACCCUUUAACUAUGGAGGAAGAUUUUGAUAACUUUUUCCCAGGAAGGCCUGCUGUAUGUACUGGCAAAAUUUCAGAUCGCUCAGACUUUCCCCCUAGGAGGAGUUCAUCAUAGAUUUUGUACAGUUAACGCAUGAUGGCGCACUUCCUGUUGGGUUUAGAGCAUGGCUGUGAUUGCCUUUUUUGUGUUUCCUGAUGUGCUGCAUAUGCCUCCCAAAUUUUUUAGCUCUCGGCCAAAUGCCCUCUGAGUUGGCCUAAUACCACUUUUUAAAAUUUUGUAGGGGGCGCUAUGGAGUCAUUUUUGCACACACCUCCACAUGCCCUAAAAAAUAUGAAAUUUUUCGCCAGUUCUGAUGUGUGUGCAAAUUUUCAUGACUUUUCGAGCAUGUUCAGGCCAUGAAAAAUGCAGUUCUUUUGGCAGAAUAAUAAUAAUAAUAAUAAUAAAAAACCCUAAGGUUUCAAUAGGGUCCUUCGGCACCGUUGGUGCCUUGGACAGCCGGUGCACUUGCACCGCCUGUCCUCGGCACCUUGGUGCUCGGACCCUAAUUAAAGCUGCGAGCAGCGUUGAACGGGUCCUCGCAUCCUUGCUGGUCGGCGACCCCAAGCCUUUCCACCAGGCAAUACUACGACUGAGAGUGUAUGUAGGCCCAUGAAUGUCACAAAGGCUGGAUUCUUAGCACACAGGUCAAAUUUCAGGCAGAUUGGAGCAUGUACAGGCUAUUUAUGCAGCACUUUCUGUCCAUCCACCAGGUGGCGCUAUCUCUGUGUCUGUCUAUUGGUCUAUGAAACUCAUAAGGACCGGUCUCUGAUCAAACAUGUAAAGUUUCAGGCAAAUUGCAGCAUUUACAGGGGAUUUACAUAUUAUGUCCUGCUUCAUGGCGUAACAUUGUAGUUCAGUUGGCCGCCAUGGCCACGCCCUUUGAGUUUUGUGAACAAUUUUCGCAAAUACUCAACCUGAAGGCGUGUAGUAUAUAUUGUCCCAAUUUCAGGUGUUUUGGAGCUAUUGCCUGUGAGAAAUGAAUUGUUGAAAAUGAUCAAAAACACCAAAAAUCUGACAUUUAAUUAAAAAUGGCCGACAUUCUGUUGGGUUUAGAGAAUGACUCCAAGAGACUUUUUUGUUUGCACUGACAUGCUACAUUUGCAUGCCAAAUUUCAUAGUCCUAGGUGAAAGUCUCUGUGGAGGCUAUUUUUUAAAUGCUGUAGGGGGCGCGAUGGUACAUGCUGUGAAUGUAUUUUAGUCUAUAAAUGUGAUCAGGACAGGACUGUGUUUAAUCAUGUGAGGUCUGAGGUAGAUUGGAGCAUGCAGAGGAUAGUAAGAUACCACUUGAUGUUUCAUGGCGAACCAUCAAAAUUCUGGAGGUCGCCAUGUCCACACCCUUUGACUCCGGAAGAAUCUUUUAAUAACUUUUGAUCAUAACAUCGUGUUGUAUACCCUGGUAAAAUUUGAGGUCUCUGGGAGUUAACCCCGAGGAGGAGUUCGCUCUCAAAAAUUAAAAAAAUAGAGAAAAUUUAUCCACAUAAUUCAAAAUGGCGGACUUCCUGUUGAGUUUAGGGGAUGGCUCCAAGAGGCUUUUUUGUGCAUCGUGAUGUGCUCUAUCGGCCUCCCAAAUUUUGUGGAUGUCGGUGAAACAUGCUGCCGGGGCUGUUUAUUAAACAUACUGUAGGGGGCGCUAUAGCACAUGCCCUGCAGAGAUGCAUACAGUGUUAUUCCUUGAGGGGACAGUGAUGUGUGUGUAAAUUUUAGUGAGCUGUUGAGCAUUCUAAGCCUGUCAAAAAGUACUUUGUUUGUCACAAAAACAACGCGUUGGCACGGCAACAGCAUUUCAUCAAAUAUCAAAAUCUUCACACUGUGGUAUUGUCUGGGGGUGAAGAAUCAGCUGACCAAUUUUCAGAAUGAUAUGACAAAGUUUGGAGCAAUGAUGUGUGCAAAUGUAAUUUCUAAACUGCUUGUUACCAAGAGGUGGCGCUAUGACUUUUUCUAAAUUUUUCAGUGUGGAUGUCCUCAAACUGGUUCUGGUGUCCAGCACAUGAAGUUUGGGGCAGACACGAUUAGGAUUUGCUGAGAUAUAAACAUUUUAGUCGUCAUGGCGAGACAUCUAAAUUCGCCGCGCCGCCACAGACACACCUUUUUAUGACACGUCACCAUUUUCACUGUGAAUAAUCAUCAACAUGUUAAGGUUUAUUUCACCACAUUUGAGGUGAAUCUGAGCAAGAGACAAAGAAUAAUACAUCAAAGUGUAAAAAAUGACAUUUUCUGUUGCCAGCAGGUGGCGCUCUGACUGUGAAUGGAUUUCAUCAUAUGGAUGUGAUCAGGGCAGGAAUCUGAUCAUACAUAUAAAGUUUCAGGCAGAUUGGAGCAUGUUCAGGGCAUUUACACACAACUUGAAAUUUCAUGGCGAAGGAUCAAAAUUCCACAGACCGCCACGGACACGCCCUUUGACUUUUGAAAAAGAUUUUAAUAACUUUUGCUCAUUAAGGCCUCCUGUAUGUACUGGUCGAAUUUGAGGCGAAUUGGAGUUUCCCCCUGGGAGGAGUUCGCUCUGGAAAAAAAUGAAAAAUGGGCAAAAUCUGACAUUCAACUUAAAAUAGCUCACUUCCUGUUGGGUUUGGAAUAUGGCUGUCACUGACUUUUUUGUUCAGUCUGAUGUGCUGCAUAUGUGUACCAAAUUUGGUAGCUGUAGGUGAAACAUGAUGGCCGUGGGAAAGUGUAGGGGGCGCUAUGGAGCCAUUUUGCCACACACCUCCACAAUUCCUUUAAAAUAUGAAAUUUUUCACCAGUCCUGAUGUGUGUACAAAUUUUCAUGAGUUUUUGAGCAUGUUUAGGCCCUCAAAAAUGCAAUUGUUCUGAGAGACAAAUAAUAAUAAUAAUUAAAGCUGCGAGCAGCAUUGAACGGGUCCUCGCAUCCUUGCUGGUCGGCGACCCCAAGCAUGUCCACCAGGCAAUGCUGCGACAAAGUGUAUUUAGGCUCAUGGAUGUAACGAGGACUGGAUUCUGAGCACUCAGGUCAAAUUUCAGACAGAUUGGAGCAUGUACAGACUAUUUUUGCAGCACUUUGUGUCCAUCCACCAGGUGGCACUAUGUCUGUGGUCUAUGAAACUCAUCAGGACUGGACUCUGAUCAAACAUGUAAAGUUUGAGGUAGAUUACUGCAUGUACAGGGGAUUUACACAAGACGUCCUGCUUCAUGGCGUAACAUUAAAGUUCAGUUGGCCGCCAUGGCCAUGCCCUUUGAGUUUUGUGAACAAUUUUCGCAAAUAUGCAACCUGAAGGCGUUUCUUAUAUAUUUUCCCAAAUUCAGGUGUUUUGGAGUUAUUGCCAGUGACAAAUGAAUUGUUGAAAAUGACCAAAAACACCAAAAAUCUGACAUUUAAUUCAAAAUGGCUGACUUUCUGUUGUGUUUAGAGAAUGACUCCAAGAGACUUUUUUGCUUGCACUGAUGUGCUACAUAUGCAUGCCAAAUUUCAUAGUCAUAGGUGAAAGUCUGUGUGGAGGCUAUUUUUUAAAUUCUUUUAGGGGGCGCUAUGACACAUGCUGUGGAUGUAUUUUGGCCUGUAAAUGUGAUCAGGACAGGACUGUGUUUAAUCAUGUGAGGUCUGAGGUAGAUUGGAGCAUGCAGAGGAUAUUUAGGUAGCACUUGAUGUUUCAUGGCGAACCAUCAAAAUUCUGGAGGUCGCCAUGUCCACACCCUUUGACUCUGCAAGAAUCCUUUGAUAACUUUUGAUCAUAACAUCGUGUUGUAUAUCCUGGCAAAAUUUCAGCUCUCUAGACCUUAACCCCGAGGAGGAGUUCGCUCUCAAAAAUGAAAAAAAUACAGAAAUUUUAUCCACUUAAUUCAAAAUGGCGGACUUCCUGUUGAGUUUAGGGGAUGGCUCCAAGAGGCUUUUUUGUGUGUCCUGGUGUGCUCUAUAGGCCUCCCAAAUUUUGUGGAUGUAGGUGAAACAUGCUGCCGGGGCUGUUUAUGAAACAUACUGCAGGGGGCGCUAUAGCACAUGCCCUGCAGAGAUGCAUACAGUGUUAUUCCUUGAGACGACUGUGAUGUGUGUGUAAAUUUUGGUGAGCUGUUGAACAUUCUAAGCCUGUCAAAAAGUACUUUGUUUGUCACAAAAACAACGCGUUGCCACGGCAACAGUAUUUCAUCAAAUAUCAAAAUCUUCACACUGUGGUAUUGUCUGGGGGUGAAGAAUCAGCUGACCAAUUUUCAGAAUGAUAUGACAAAGUUUGGAGCAAUGAUGUGUGCAAAUGUAAUUUCUAAACUGCUUGUUACCAAGAGGUGGCGCUAUGACUUUUUCUAAAUUUUUCAGUGUGGAUGUCCUCAAACUGGUUCUGGUGUCCAGCACAUGAAGUUUGGGGCAGAUAGGAUCCUUUGCAGCUGAGAUAUGAACACUUCAAUUUUCAUGGCGAAACAUCAAACUUUGCCGUCCCGCCACAGACACGCCUUUUCAUCACACGUCACCAUUUUUUCUGUGCUUCAUCAUCAAUGUGUUCAGGCUUAUGUCACAACAUCUGAGGUGAAUCUGAGCAACAGGCUAAGAAUAGUACAUGAAAGUGUAAAAAAUGUCAAAUUCUUGAUACCACAAGGUGGCGCUGUGACUGAAUGAAUCUUGCUGUAUGGAUGUCAUCGAGGCAGGUCUGUGAUCAUACAUGUAAAGUUUCAUUCAGAUCGGAGCAUGUUCAGGAGAGUUAGACAGCAUUUCCUGUUUCAUGGCGAAGGAUCAAAUUUCGACAGGCCGCCACGACCACACCCUUUAACUAUGGAGGAAGAUUUUGAUAACUUUUUCUCAGGAAGGUCUGCUGUAUGUACUGGCAAAAUUUCAGAUCGCUCAGACUUUCCCCCUAGGAGGAGUUCAUCAUAGAUUUUGUACAGUUAACGCAUGAUGGCGCACUUCCUGUUGGGUGUAGAGCAUGGCUGUGAUUGACUUUUUUGUGUUUCCUGAUGUGCUGCAUAUGCCUCCCAAAUUUUUUAGCUCUCGGCCAAAUUCCCUCCGAGUUGGCCUAAUACCACUUUUUAAAAUUUUGUAGGGGGCGCUAUGGAGCCAUUUUGCCACACACCUCCACAAUUCCUUUAACAUAUGAAAUUUUUCACCAGUCCUGAUGUGUGUACAAAUUUUCAUGAGUUUUUGAGCAUGUUUAGGCCCUCAAAAAUGCAAUUGUUCUGAGAGACAAAUAAUAAUAAUAAUUAAAGCUGCGAGCAGCGUUGGACGGGUCCUCGCAUCCUUGCUGGUCGGCGACCCCAGGCAUGUCCACCAGGCAAUGCUGCGACAAAGUGUAUUUAGGCUCAUGGAUGUAACGAGGACUGGAUUCUGAGCACUCAGGUCAAAUUUCAGACAGAUUGGAGCAUGUACAGACUAUUUUUGCAGCACUUUGUGUCCAUCCACCAGGUGGCACUAUGUCUGUGACUGUAUAGUGGUCUAUGAAACUCAUCAGGCCUGGACUCUGAUCAAACAUGUAAAGCUUGAGGUCGAUUACAGCAUGUACAGGGGAUUUACACAAGACGUCCUGCUUCAUGGCGUAACAUUAAAGUUCAGUUGGCCGCCAUGGCCAUGCCCUUUGAGUUUUGUGAACAAUUUUCGCAAAUAUGCAACCUGAAGGCGUUUCUUAUAUAUUUUCCCAAAUUCAGGUGUUUUGGAGUUAUUGCCAGUGACAAAUGAAUUGUUGAAAAUGACCAAAAACACCAAAAAUCUGACAUUUAAUUCAAAAUGGCUGACUUUCUGUUGUGUUUAGAGAAUGACUCCAAGAGACUUUUUUGCUUGCACUGAUGUGCUACAUAUGCAUGCCAAAUUUCAUAGUCAUAGGUGAAAGUCUGUGUGGAGGCUAUUUUUUAAAUUCUUUUAGGGGGCGCUAUGGUAGAUGCUGUGAAUGUAUUUUGGCCAAUAAAUGUGAUCAGGACAGGACUGUGUUUAAUCAUGUGAGGUCUGAGGUAGAUUGGAGCAUGCAGAGGAUAGUUAGGUAGCACUUGAUGUUUCAUGGCGAACCAUCAAAAUUCUGGAGGUCGCCAUGUCCACACCCUUUGACUCUGCAAGAAUCCUUUGAUAACUUUUGAUCAUAACAUCGUGUUGUAUAUCCUGGCAAAAUUUCAGCUCUCUAGACCUUAACCCCGAGGAGGAGUUCGCUCUCAAAAAUGAAAAAAAUACAGAAAUUUUAUCCACUUAAUUCAAAAUGGCGGACUUCCUGUUGAGUUUAGGGGAUGGCUCCAAGAGGCUUUUUUGUGUGUCCUGGUGUGCUCUAUAGGCCUCCCAAAUUUUGUGGAUGCAGGUCAAACAUGCUGCCGGGGCUGUUUAUUAAACAUACUGCAGGGGGCGCUAUAGCACAUGCCCUGCAGAGAUGCAGACAGUGUUAUUCCUUGAGACGACUGUGAUGUGUGUGUAAAUUUUGGUGAGCUGUUGAACAUUCUAAGCCUGUCAAAAAGUACUUUGUUUGUCACAAAAACAAUGCGUUGCCACGGCAACAGCAUUUCAUCAAAUAUCAAAAUCUUCACACUGUGGUAUUGUCUGGGGGUGAAGAAUCAGCUGACCAAUUUUCAGAAUGAUAUGACAAAGUUUGGAGCAAUGGUGUGUGCAAAUGUAAUUUCUAAACUGCUUGUUACCAAGAGGUGGCGCUAUGACUUUUUCUAAAUUUUUCAGUGUGGAUGUCCUCAAACUGGUUCUGGUGUCCAGCACAUGAAGUUUGGGGCAGAUAGGAUCCUUUGCAGCUGAGAUAUGAACACGUCAAUUUUCAUGGCGAAACAUCAAACUUUGCCGUCCCGCCACAGACACGCCUUUUCAUCACACGUCACCAUUUUUUCUGUGCUUCAUCAUCAAUGUGUUCAGGCUUAUUUCACAACAUCUGAGGUGAAUCUGAGCAACAGGCUAAGAAUAGCACAUGAAAGUCUAAAAAAUGUCAAAUUCUUGAUACCACAAGGUGGCGCUGUGACUGUGAAUGAAUCUUGCUGUAUGGAUGUCAUCGAGGCAGGUCUGUGAUCAUACAUGUAAAGUUUCAUUCAGAUCGGAGCAUGUUCAGGAGAGUUAGACAGCAUUUCCUGUUUCAUGGCGAAGGAUCAAAUUUCGACAGGCCGCCACGACCACACCCUUUAACUAUGGAGGAAGAUUUUGAUAACUUUUUCUCAGGAAGGUCUGCUGUAUGUACUGGCAAAAUUUCAGAUCGCUCAGACUUUUCCCCUAGGAGGAGUUCAUCAUAGAUUUUGUACAGUUAACGCAUGAUGGCGCACUUCCUGUUGGGUGUAGAGCAUGGCUGUGAUUGACUUUUUUGUGUUUCCUGAUGUGCUGCAUAUGCCUCCCAAAUUUUGUUGCUCUCGACCAAACUCCCUCUGAGUUGGCCUAAUACCACUUUUUAAAAUUUUGUAGGGGGCGCUAUGGAGCCAUUUUUGCACACACCUCCACAUGCCCUACAAAAUAUGAAAUUUUUCGCCAGUUCUGAUGUGUGUGCAAAUUUUCAUGACUUUUUGAGCAUGUUUAGGCCCUCAAAAAUGCAGUUGUUCUGAGAGACAAAUAAUAAUAAUAAUAAUAAUAAUAAUAAUAAUUAAAGCUGCAAGCAGCGUUGAACGGGUCCUCGCAUCCUUGCUGGUCGGCAACCUCAAGCAUCUCCACCAGGCAAUGCUAUGACUGAGAGUGUAUUUAGGCCCAUGAAUGUCACAAAGGCUUGAUUCUGAGCACACAGGUCAAAUUUCAGGCAGAUUGGAGCAUGUACAGGCUAUUAAUUCAGCACUUUGUAUCCAUCCACCAGGUGGCGCUAUCUGUAUGACUAUAUAUUGGUCUAUGAAACUCAUCAGGACUGGACUCUGAUCAAACAUGUAAAGUUUGAGGCAGAUUGCAGCAUGU